CUCGCUCCCAGGAAGCGCGCGGGAGUUUCUGCUCAUUCGCUUUCCAGGAAUCGAUGCAUGACCUGACUCCGCCCCCCCGGGCGGCCCUGACAGAGCCUUCAUUCUGGGAAUUCACCGCCUCGACAUUAAAGAUAAUAGGAAUGCACACUGGCUUUUUCCAGUAACGCAGAUUUCCCUCGAUCCUGUUUGGAAAAACACAAGGGAUCUGCAGUGCAGUGAAGCUCGCCAUGGAAAUAAAAUCAGACUUCAGAUGUUGCAUGGAGGUCCGUGCAUGUUUGAUGUUAUCUCCAUAAUUCUUUUUGGCCUGCAGUAUGUCUGCAAAUUCUGUUUUCGCAUCAAGCGACACCUUAAAAUACCUUUCAAUUUAAAUUUUGUUUUUUAGGUCUAAUUACAAAGUUGACCAAAUUGCUUUCUAAGAAGACGAGGCAAUCUGCUUCGGGCUUCUCAAGUGUCAGCAUCUCCAGGUUUAUUUUUCUCCCCACUUAAAGAAACGUCCCAGUAGUUAAUAGUUAAUGACAAAACAUUUCCGUUUUAAUUUAGACUUUGGACUAAAGUUGGGAGUUCUUGUGUAUAAACACAUUUUAGGGCCUUUUUUUUUAAGAUGUUUAGCUUUUCUCAUUUUUAAAAUGUUGAUUAUGGCUCAGCUUUUUGUUGUCCUUAUAUCCAAAAGCAUUUCUAUUCAACACUUCAGAUUUUGUUUAGACUUCCUGCUUGACUCAGACAAAAUGACUUAAACUUGUAAUUUAGAGCUGUCUGGCAAAGCUCAGGUCAUAAACGUGGAAAAUGUUGAAAUACAAAGAAUUGCAAUAAUCACAUCUUGCCGGUUUUAGGAGCUGCUGAUCAUUUAAAUCUCCACUAUGAAGAUAAAUCUAUCCAUACAGUCUUCUAAUUCCUAGAUAAAUCCAUCCAGAUGAAUCAGGUUGGAGCCUUAUUUUUGCCCUCCUUCUGUAAAUAAAUGCACUUCUAUUAAUUUUGCAUGGUUUAUUUCCCGCACACUUAUCUUUUGGGAUUAGUUCUUCACGUGUUUACGACACGCUAUCCACAUUUUAUUGCUGAAUAUUUGAAUAUAGCCAUAUUUAUUUGUAUAAACAUGCUUCGUACUCAGAAUUUACUGAGAAGUGGGUGAUGUCUGAGACAGUGAAUAACACUGUUAGGCGGAGGGGGGGGGGAAGAAAAAAAGCAUGGUUCAAGGAUAUUCUGAGAAAAUCUGUGAUUGCCUGGAACUGGCCGCAUAAAUUCCUCCUUUGUCAGUCAGGAGAAAAAAACCUUGAUGAUGUGUGAGUUUUUUUAGUCAUCAAGCAUGAAUCAAACUGCUGCACAAGACUUUUAGUUUGAUGAGUUUUAGUAUGUGACUCGAUUCCAGAAAUGUGUGAAAAGGUUUUGUUUUUUUUAGCGAGAAAUCAGAUCGUUUUCCGAUCAUUCAGGGAUUCAUCCACGUCCACAUGGAUGCAAAAGAUCCAUUCUGAUAGGUGUAAUAUGUAUUUUUUAAGUAUGAUGUAUGUGACACUGAGUUGGUCACUUUGACUUAAAAAAAAGCUUUUGUAAUGACAGGUAAAUGAUCCCACUUUAAAGACAUUUUUGGAUGUAAAAGGUCUUUGAACAGAGCUUUUAUUCCUUUUGCCCCUUCAGAUUUUCUUUUUAGUUUACGUCUGAACAAAAGAAAUUGUAAUUUAGGGUAACUUUAAAUAAAAACAUAGUAAACUUGGCAUCCACGAGACUUGCAGAACUUUUCAAUCUUAUAAAAGAA